rnacentral:rRNA from 1 species
AGAGUUUGAUCCUGGCUCAGAACUAACGCUGGCGGUGUGUCUUAGUCAUGCAAGUCGCACGAGAAAGCACUCUUCGGAGUGCAAGUACAGUGGCGGACGGGUGAGUAACACGUGGGAAAUCUGCCCUCAAGUUGGGGACAACCCGCCUAACGGCGGGCUAAUACCGAAUGUGGUUCCUGCUUCGCAUGUGGCGAGAACUAAAGGUGGCCUAUCCUUGGAAGCUACCGCUUGUGGAUGAUCCCGCGCUCGAUUAGCUAGUUGGUAAGGUAACGGCUUACCAAGGCGACGAUCGAUAGCCGGCCUGAGAGGGCGAUCGGCCACACUGGGAUUGAGAUAAGGCCCAGUCUCCUACGGGAGCCAGCAGUCUAGAAAUUUGGGCAAUGGGCGAAAGCCUGACCCAGCGACACCGCGUGGGGGAUGAAGCUCCUCGGAGUGUAAACCCCUGUUAGGUGGGACGAAUCCCCGAUUGCAAAUAGUGAUCGGGGUUGACGGUACCACCAGAGGAAGCUCCGGCUAACUCCGUGCCAGCAGCCGCGGUAAUACGGGGGGAGCGAGCGUUGUUCGGAUUUAUUGGGCGUAAAGGGCGUACAGGCGGUGGUGUAAGUCAGAUGUGAAAUGCUCCGGCUCAACCGGGGAUCUGCAUUUGAUACUGCAUUACUUGAGUACAGGAGAGGAGAGCGGAAUUCUAGGUGUAGCGGUGGAAUGUGUAGAUAUCUGGAAGAACACCAGUGGCGAAGGCGGCUCUCUGGCCUGAUACUGACGCUGACGCGCGAAAGCUAGGGGAGCAAACAGGAUUAGAUACCCUGGUAGUCCUAGCUGUAAACGUUGGGCACUAGGUGUUGGGGGUAUCGACCCCCUCAGUGCCGAAGCUAACGCAUUAAGUGCCCCGCCUGGGGAGUACGGCCGCAAGGCU